rnacentral:sRNA from 1 species
GCAAAUCUGGCUCAUUAAAGGGUAUUUCUUCCUCCGGGGCAUCGAAAUUCGCCUUUUGUUCGCUCUUCGGGCGAGACUCUGGCAGAAUUCCGG